AGCAAAAUCAGCGGAAAUGGCGAGCUGCAGACCGCGGGACGAAACUGACGCAAUUUACAAUGGAACCACCCCUGACCAGAACAAUGAAGACUCUGGGAAGAUUACAUUCAUAUUUCAAACUGAAACAUUUAUGUCAGAAUGUGUUGAGAAACAAGACUUGAAAAUUUGUGCUGUUCUUGGCCACAUUGUUUGGCCAGGAGACGGGAGCGAUGAUGAUGAUGAUCCGCCUUACCCACUGAGCAUCCAGAUGUGAACUGUUGGAUUCCUCAGGUCCUACAUUGAAACA